rnacentral:rRNA from 1 species
GGGGAAUAUUGGACAAUGGACCAAGAGUCUGAUCCAGCAAUUCUGUGUGCACGAUGACGUUUUUCGGAAUGUAAAGUGCUUUCAGUUGGGAAGAAAAAAAUGACGGUACCAACAGAAGAAGUGACGGCUAAAUACGUGCCAGCAGCCGCGGUAAUACGUAUGUCACAAGCGUUAUCCGGAUUUAUUGGGCGUAAAGCGCGUCUAGGUGGUUAUGUAAGUCUGAUGUGAAAAUGCAGGGCUCAACUCUGUAUUGCGUUGGAAACUGCAUGACUAGAGUACUGGAGAGGUAAGCGGAACUACAAGUGUAGAGGUGAAAUUCGUAGAUAUUUGUAGGAAUGCCGAUGGGGAAGCCAGCUUACUGGACAGAUACUGACGCUAAAGCGCGAAAGCGUGGGUAGCAAACAGGAUUAGAUACCCUGGUAGUCCACGCCGUAAACGAUGAUUACUAGGUGUUGGGGGUCGAACCUCAGCGCCCAAGCUAACGCGAUAAGUAAUCCGCCUGGGGAGUACGUACGCAAGUAUG